UUGAAAGGGAAACGAUUGAAGUCAGUCGUACCUGUGGGUAAUCAGCCUUUUGGGUGUGAUUUUGUGGAGUGUGAGGAGUUAAACGCCUUCAUGCCUGCAUAUUCGUGCACUUUGGGUGUAUUUACCCGUGUGGUAAGUUAACAUCAAUUUCGGUGAUCAUAAAAUGGCUGGAGGAAUGUAGCUUCGAUCUUGUAUUGAAGUGUUAUAGCCUUCGGUAGAUGUGAUAAUCGGGAUUGAGGAUUGCAACGGAUACCCUUCGGGGCUACCUGUCUGAUCUCUGAUCGUUGCUCUGGUGCCGAAAGCUUGCUUACGGUUAUCAAAGUCGAUGGUCAAUAGGUUAGAAUGGGUUAAAUUCGUUAAGGAUGUUGACGUA
rnacentral:rRNA from 1 species